UACGGGGGGGAGCAAGCGUUGUUCGGAUUUACUGGGCGUAAAGGGCGCGUAGGCGGUCGUGACAAGUCACUUGUGAAAUCUCCGGGCUUAACUCGGAACGGUCAAGUGAUACUGUCGUGCUAGAGUACAGAAGGGGGCAACUGGAAUUCUCGGUGUAGCGGUGAAAUGCGUAGAUAUCGAGAGGAACACCUGCGGCGAAGGCGGGUUGCUGGGCUGACACUGACGCUGAAGUGCGAAAGCUAGGGGAGCGAACGGG
rnacentral:rRNA from 1 species